ACCAUAAUAGCUCAGUUGGGAGAGUGUUAGACUAUAAAACAAGAGUCCCUGGUUCGAUCCAGGGUUUCGACA
rnacentral:tRNA from 1 species